rnacentral:rRNA from 1 species
CCUACGGGUGGCAGCAGUGGGGAAUAUAGGACAAUGGGGGGAACCCUGAUCCAGCCAUGCCGCGUGUGUGAAGAAGGCCCUCGGGUUGUAAAGCACUUUCAGUGAGGAAGAACGCCUGGUGGUUAAUACCCAUCAGGAAAGACAUCACUCACAGAAGAAGCACCGGCUAACUCCGUGCCAGCAGCCGCGGUAAUACGGUGGGUGCGAGCGUUAAUCGGAAUUACUGGGCGUAAAGCGCGCGUAGGUGGCUUGAUAAGCCGGUUGUGAAAGCCCCGGGCUCAACCUGGGAACGGCAUCCGGAACUGUCAAGCUAGAGUGCAGGAGAGGAAGGUAGAAUUCCCGGUGUAGCGGUGAAAUGCGUAGAGAUCGGGAGGAAUACCAGUGGCGAAGGCGGCCUUCUGGACUGACACUGACACUGAGGUGCGAAAGCGUGGGUAGCAAACAGGAUUAGAUACCCUUGUAGUC